rnacentral:lncRNA from 1 species
UUUCAUGAAAUUCUGGUAUGUAGUUUCAGAGGAGUUGUGAUGACAAACUGUUGCAGUAGUACAUUGAAGUAAAUAAGUUCAAAGGGGCGUAACUCCUAGAAAAAAAAUUGAAUCGCAAUUUCCCGUCGAUAUGCACAACUACAUAGUAUCCUUCUUAUCUGAAAAGGUUUCGCUAAAAUUCUGUUGUGUGGUUUGAGAGGAGUUGUGAUGACAAACUGUUGCAGUAGUACAUUAAAGUAAAUAAGUUCAAAGGGGCGUAACUCCUAGAAAAAAAAUUGAAUCACAAUUUCCCGUCGAUAUGCACAACUACAUAGUAUGUCCUUAUUAUUUGAAAAGGUUUCGUGAAAUUCUGUUGUGUGGUUUGAGAGGAGUUGCGAUGACAAACUGUUGCAGUAGUACAUUAAAGUAAAUAAGUUCAAAGGGGCGUAACUCCUAGAAAAAAAAUUGAAUCACAAUUUCCCGUCAAUAUGCACAACUACAUAGUAUGUCCUUAUUAUCUGAAAAGGUUUCGUGAAAUUCUGUUGUGUGGUUUGAGAGGAGUUGCAAUGACAAACUGUUGCAGUAGUACAUUAAAGUAAAUAAGUUCAAAGGGGCGUAACUCCUAGAAAAAAAAUUGAAUCACAAUUUCCCGUCCAUAUGCACAUCUACAUAGUAUGUCCUUAUUAUCUGAAAAGGUUUCGUGAAAUUCUGUUGUGUGGUUUGAGAGGAGUUGUGAUGACAAACUGUUGCAGUAGUACAUUAAAGUAAAUAAGUUCAAAGGGCGUAACUCCUAGAAAAAAAAUGGAAUCGCAAUUUCCCGUCGAUAUGCACAACUACAUAGUAUGUCAUUAUUAUCUGAAAAGGUUUCGUGAAAUUCUGUUGUGUGGUUUGAGAGGAGUUGCGAUGACAAACUGUUGCAGUAGUACAUUAAAGUAAAUAAGUUCAAAGGGGCGUAACUCCUAGAAAAAAAAUGGAAUCGCAAUUUCCCUUCGAUAUGCACAACUACAUAGUAUGUCCUUAUUAUCUGAAAAGGUUUCGUGAAAUUCUGUUGUGUGGUUUGAGAGGAGUUGCGAUGACAAACUGUUGCAGUAGUACAUUAAAGUAAAUAAGUUCAAAGGGGCGUAACUCCUAGAAAAAAAAUUGAAUCGCAAUUUUUUCCAUCGAUAUGCACAACUACAUAGUAUGUCCUUAUUAUCUGAAAAGGUUUCGUGAAAUUCUGUUGUGUGGUUUGAGAGGAGUUGCGAUGACAAACUGUUGCAGUAGUACAUUGAAGUAAAUAAGUUCAAAGGGGCGUAACUCCUAGAAAAAAAAUGGAAUCGCAAUUUCCCGUCGAUAUGCACAACUACAUAGUAUGUCCUUAUUAUCUGAAAAGGUUUCGUGAAAUUCUGUUGUGUGGUUUGAGAGGAGUUGCGAUGACAAACUGUUGCAGUA